UACGGAGGGUGCAAGCGUUAUCCGGAUUCACUGGGUUUAAAGGGUGCGUAGGUGGGCAAGUAAGUCAGUGGUGAAAUCUCCGGGCUUAACCCGGAAACUGCCAUUGAUACUAUUUGUCUUGAAUACUGUGGAGGUCAGCGGAAUAUGUCGUGUAGCGGUGAAAUUGCUUAGAUAUGACAUAGAACACCAAUGCGAAGGCAGCUGGCUACACAAAUAUUGACACUGAGG
rnacentral:rRNA from 1 species